GAGGGUAUGGCUCAGUGGUAGAGUGCGUGUUUAGCGUGCACAAGAUUCUGGGUUCAAUCCCCAGUACCUCUA
rfam:Camelus ferus unplaced genomic scaffold scaffold557, whole genome shotgun sequence.